AUUCAAGUAACUUAUAUAGAGUAUAAUAUUGAAGAUAUUAGGGAAAUUUAUUAAUUAAAUUCUUGAAUA
rnacentral:tRNA from 1 species